UACGUAGGGUCCGAGCGUUGUCCGGAAUUAUUGGGCGUAAAGGGCUCGUAGGCGGUUUGUCGCGUCGGGAGUGAAAACACACAGCUUAACUGUGUGCUUGCUUCCGAUACGGGCAGACUAGAGGUAUGCAGGGGAGAACGGAAUUCCUGGUGUAGCGGUGAAAUGCGCAGAUAUCAGGAGGAACACCGGUGGCGAAGGCGGGUCUCUGGGCCGAUACUGACGCUGAGACGCGAAAGCGUGGGGAGCGAACAGG
rnacentral:rRNA from 1 species